rnacentral:lncRNA from 1 species
UCCUGCUGUCCCCGGCAGCAUGGUGAGAGGCCAGAAAAGCUGAUUUCUUUCCCUUAUCUAUCCUGGGAGGCUCAGAGAGCAAGAUCAGCCUUCCAGAGCGGCACCACGCUGGGCAGUGUGUGGGACUGCAGGAGUCAGCAGAAGUCAUGUGCACCUCAUUGCUGAUAGAAGGUGAAUCAAAGGAGGGGACCCAAGCGACCAUCACUUCAGGCUGGAGUGUUCAGUGAGCUGGACUAGCUAGGACAAAGCAGUCUCCUGUGACAUCUGCUGUCUUCCCAAGGUGUGAGCCAGCAGAGCCCACCCCUCUGUGUAACUUAUUUCAUAUCAUCUACACUUUCCAAUAAGCCCUUACUCUAUUAGAUUGCUUCCUGGAAGAGCCAAAUAUUAAAAAUCACCGGUCAGUCGGUUUCUUUAUUCUGUUAGUCACCAAACUGAUUUUUUAAGCUCAGAACCAAUAAAGCUGUGAUGGUGAAGAACAGAUAUAGAUUUCUCUUUCCCACACACUCAUAUAUAAUAAUAAUAAAACUUUAUUAAACAAGAGACA